CUUGUAAUGAGUUCAUCAACAGGUGUACAUGCAGACUGAAUGCUCCUCUACUAAUGUUAUUUGUCUAUCCUUGGAAUAGAUCCAUCAUUUUACAAAAAAGAAAACAACCAAGAUUUCAGUAAAGAAAACACUCAACCUGGAGUCAAGCCUACUGAGUCUUAUUGUUGAUGUUCACUAUCUGUCUAACAAUACAGAGACGUAUCUGCCAGGACAGAAUAAGUGUCCUUACCUGCAGUUCCAAACAGUCUCUCUCUGUACCUUCUCCACAAGCCUGAGGGUGGCACCACUGCUAAAGUACCACUCCUUAUAGUGGCACAAAGGCACCUGAAGAUAAACAAAACGUUUGUGGAUGAAUCUCUGGCAGCUGUCGGAGCGUGGCGGUACAGCACAUCUCUCCUAAAAGAUGAGUGCGCAAGAAGUGAGAAAGCAGCUGAUGGACCAGGACAUCGGAAUUACGCACCCACAUCUUUGCUAACAACCAAUCUGGUGCAGGAUCGGAAGAGCCGGGCAGGAGACGGUGUUGAUCUGGAUUCACGCUGACUGGAGGGGUCUCGCAAUGAGUGCCAAUCAGAGAGAUCCAAACGAUGCCAUAAGUUCCUGAGAGAGGUGUUGCGGAGGUUCGAAUUGUCACAUGAAACCCAU